rnacentral:tRNA from 1 species
AGAAAUUUAGUUAAAGAAAUAACAUUAAUAUGUCAAAUUAAAAUUAUUAAUAAUAAUAGUUUCUA